AUUUAUAUUAAAUUUAUUUUAAGUUAAUAGUGUACUGGUUAUAACUAAUAUCAAAUCUUUACUAAUACUUGAUUUCUUUUUAUGAUGGUUGACUUUGCGAGAACUAACGGAGCAUUAGUGUCAAGAAUGGGCUGAGAUUCGAAUUCAGUCGGUUUUUCGCUCUUUUUUGACAAAAAGGGAUCAAGAUCGGGACCGUCCAUUUGACUUCACACGGAUCACCAUCUGCUUUCUCUCUCAAUGCUCACACAUCUGACAAAAAGGGAUGCCAAAAGCAGGGAAGUACAAUCUACAGGAAAAAGCAACACUUUACUUUUGUGUGAAAGACAGCUUGCUUGCUGCAGUCUCUAUAAUAUAUCAACACUCUUCCAUACACUGUUUGAAAGACAGCACUGCUUCCUUCAGUCUCUAUAAAUAAUCCAGAGAUAUCUACACUCUACUCACACUUUACAAACUCUCAACUACACUCAACUGAAAUUAAUAUAUCAACUCUUUGCAUUCGGAUCUUGCGUUGUUUCUCGGCUCUCACAUCAAGGUUUUAAAAUUUUUGUCGGCUUUUCACAUCUCCCUCUUGCAUUGUUGUAAGUUCUUUCAAAUAUGACAUAGUGAAAGGAUAAAUUGUUUUUGUAGUUUUGAUUUUACUUUGUUCUGUUAUAUUUUGAUCUUUUCCUUCA